CCUACGGGAGGCAGCAGUGGGGAAUAUUGGGCAAUGGAGGAAACUCUGACCCAGCGACGCCGCGUGCGGGAUGAAGGCCUUCGGGUUGUAAACCGCUUUCAGCAGGGGAGAAGCGAAAGUGACGGUACCUGCAGAAGAAGCACCGGCUAACUAUGUGCCAGCAGCCGCGGUAAUACAUAGGGUGCGAGCGUUGUCCGGAAUUAUUGGGCGUAAAGAGCUCGUAGGUGGUUCGUCACGUCGGAUGUGAAAAUCUGGGGCUUAACCCCAGACCUGCAUUCGAUACGGGCGAGCUUGAGUAUGGUAGGGGAGUCUGGAAUUCCUGGUGUAGCGGUGGAAUGCGCAGAUAUCAGGAGGAACACCAAUGGCGAAGGCAGGACUCUGGGCCAUUACUGACACUGAGGAGCGAAAGCGUGGGGAGCGAACAGGAUUAGAUACCCUGGUAGUCCACGCCGUAAACGGUGGGCACUAGUUGUGGGGACCUUCCACGGUCUCUGCGACGCNGCUACGCAUAGUGCCCCGCCGCGGGAGGUACGANCGCAGAUUAAACUACAAUAGAAGUUAGACGGCGUGAGACGUGCCGACGGACGACGACCGACGGGGAGGUUAGGG
rnacentral:rRNA from 1 species